CUACGGGUUGCUGCAGUGAGGAAUAUUGCACAAUGGGGGGAACCCUGAUGCAGCAACGCCGCGUGGAGGAUGACGCAUUUCGGUGUGUAAACUCCUUUUAUAUGUCAAGAAAAUGACGGUAGCAUAUGAAUAAGCACCGGCUAACUCCGUGCCAGCAGCCGCGGUAAUACGGAGGGUGCAAGCGUUACUCGGAAUCACUGGCGUAAAGGACGCGUAGGCGGGUUGGAAAGUCAGGUGUGAAAUCCUACAGCUUAACUGUAGAACUGCACUUGAAACUUCUAAUCUAGAGUAUGGGAGGGGGAGAGGGAAUUAGUGGUGUAGGGGUAAAAUCCGUAGAUAUCACUAGGAAUACCUAAAGCGAAGGCGAUCUCCUGGAACAUUACUGACGCUAAGGCGUGAAAGCGUGGGGAGCAAACAGGAUUAGAUACCCGAGUAGUC
rnacentral:rRNA from 1 species